rnacentral:tRNA from 1 species
GGGCAGGUGGCGGAACUGGCAGACGCGCAGCCUUGAGGAGGCUGUGGGCUUAUGCCCGUGGAGGUUCAAGUCCUCUCCUGCCCA